rnacentral:lncRNA from 1 species
UCCCAUACUCCUGCUUCUCCCCAACCCUAACUUCCCCGCCAAGCCUCUGCACUAUCAGCUGAAGCCCAUAGCACACACCGAGGACAAAGACUCCAUUGGCCUCGGCCCACUCGACGAAUCCGGCAGGGAAGCUCGGCGAGUCUGGGGUGUGGACCGAGUGGGGCCCGCCGGAGAGGAUGACGACCUUAGGGUUAAGGUCGGUGAUGGAUUUGAGAGAGCUAGUGCCGGAGAUGCAGAGGGAGAAGACGGAGAGGGAUCGAAUUCGGCGGG